rnacentral:rRNA from 1 species
CAAUAGCGUAUAUUAAAGUUGUUGCAGUUAAAAAGCUCGUAGUUGGAUUUGUGGCGUACGGUGGGUUCAGGGCACUUGUUGUCUGAGUAACUUGCUGUUGCCAUCCUUGGGUGGAAUCUGUGUGGCAUUAGGUUGUCGUGCAGGGGAUGCCCAUCGUUUACUGUGAAAAAAUUAGAGUGUUCAAAGCAGGCUUAUGCCGUUGAAUAUAUUAGCAUGGAAUAAUGAGAUAGGACUUUUUUGCUAUUUUGUUGGUUUGCGCGAAGAGGUAAUGAUUAAUAGGGACAGUUGGGGGUAUUCGUAUUCCAUUGUCAGAGGUGAAAUUCUUGGAUUUCUGGAAGACGAACUACUGCGAAAGCAUUUACCAAGGAUGUUUUCAUUAA